GACGAACGCUGGCGGCGUGCCUAAUACAUGCAAGUCGAACGCAGGGGGGACGGGUGAGUAACACGUGGGUAACCUGCCAUCAGAGGGGAUAACACUUGGCAACUGGUGCUAAACCGCUAUGGAUGGAUGAACCAGCUGGGCAUUAGCUAGUUGGUGAGGUAACGGCUAACCAAGGCGACGAUGCAUAGCUGACCUGAGAGGGUGACCGGCCACACUGGGACUGAGACACGGCCCAGACUCCUACGGGAGGCAGCAGUGGGGAAUCUUGGGCAAUGGACGAAAGUCUGAUGCAGCCAUGCCGCGUGUGUGAAGAAGGCCUUCGGGUUGUAAAGUACUUUCAGCGGGGAGGCGUUACCCGCAGAAGAAGCACCGGCUAACUCCGUGCCAGCAGCCGCGGUAAUUC
rnacentral:rRNA from 1 species